rnacentral:rRNA from 1 species
GUCCUCAGUUCGGACUGCAGUCUGCAACUCGACUGCACGAAGCUGGAAUCGCUAGUAAUCGCGGAUCAGCACGCCGCGGUGAAUACGUUCCCGGGCCUUGUACACACCGCCCGUCACACCAUGGAAGUCUGCAAUGCCCGAAGCCGGUGGCCUAACCACUUAUGUGGAAGGAGCCGUCUAAGGCAGGGCAGAUGACUGGGGUGAAGUCGUAACAAGGUACC